rnacentral:lncRNA from 1 species
UUGGUAAAUUGUAAUAAUAAUGAAAAGCAGUUAUUGAAAAUUAAAUUGUUUUCAUAUUUGGAAAGGUGUGCUGAUUUUUUUGGUUUCUAGGUGGGAGGACAAUGAACUGUCAGCCUUUAGAAACCUACUCUCCAGAAAGUUAAUGUGGUCCUGCUGUAUAGUUCAGGCUGGCCCUGAACUCACUGUUUAGCCCAGGCUGGCCUCAAACUUGUGGCAGUCCUCCUACCUCAGCCUCUCAAGUGCUGGGAUCACAGCAGGAAAAACACUGAAGAGUAAAGGAAGACCUGAUAAAAUUAUCUAUGUAUAAUGAGAAUCUGCUCCAAAUAUUUGUUUCUUUGAGGUAAGGGCACCAAACUCCUGUUCAAUUAAAACCAUCCUUAGAAUUCAGAAUGAUUUUUUAUUUUUUAAAAUUUUAUUUAUUUUAUCUUAUUGAUACUGGGGGAUUGAACUUGGGACCUUGCAGUUGCGAGGCAGCUGGUGGCACCACUGAGCUAAAUGCCCGGCCCCCUAAUUUUUUAUUUUUUGCCUGCCCUGGCCAGAGAACCACACUUUGUGAGAAUCCAUGGCAAAGAGCCUGAGCUGCAGGAACCUGUUCCCUAUGAAUUUAUGGCAUAAGAUGGGGUUGCUGUUCUGCCAUUUAGCACCUAAUUAGCAGCUAAGGUGUUCCAGGCCCUGCAGGGUCCCCCAGCUUAUGCCAUGAAUUCAUAGGGAACGGGUUCCUGCAGCUUGGGCUCCUUACCAUGGAUUCUCAGAAGUGUGGUUCUCUGGCCAGGGCAGGCUGGUGCUUCAGUUGAACCCAGGUACCUUUUUUUUUUUUUUGAUACCAGGGAUUGAACUCGGGUCCUUGAGUUUUUGAGGGAGGCGGUGGAAUGACUGAGCUAAAUACCCAGCCCAGGUACCUUUCUUUUUGGCUUCCUUAUGAUCAUUUUUCUCAAGUGCUUAAUAGUCCUGAUUUGCACAUUAAUUCUCUUGCCUGGUAUCUUGUUGUUAACUUGCUUGUUUAGGACAGUGCCAGCAGUAUGCUGGGUAACAUUGUAGACUGUUCCAGUUUUGCCAUGGUAGCAUUUAUUUGGCACUACUUUUUUUUUUUUCUUUCUUGGUACCAGGGAUUGAACUUGGGACCUUUCGCUUGUGAGGCAGGUGGCAGCACCACUGAGCUAAAUCCCCAGCCCUGGCAUUCCUUUUUAAACUACCUAUUCCCUUGGUGUCUGCAUUAUCAUCCUUCUUGUAGAUGUCCAUAUAUGUGGCCAAGGGAACAAUCCCAUGUUUUCUAAAAGGCUUAGAGAACACAUACCAGGUUCCUCUCUUUCCCUUUGUGUUCAGAUUACUGGAAGAUGGCAAUUCUGGCUAAAAGGACACACUAUAAUGUUUUUAUGAACUUGCUUUUUUCUGUUUGAUGGUACUUGCCACCUUCACCAUGUUUUUGAUCACACCUCAGAAGGACAUGAAAGAGGAUUCACAGAACUACUUCAGAAAGUGAAAAGAUGGAGCCAGGGAUUUAACUCAGUGGUUCCACCUCCUGCUCCAGAAGCGCAAGGUCCUGAGUUCGAUCCCUGGUACAAAAAAAACAACCACACAGUGAAAAGAGCAAUGGAUGGGAUGAGUGUGUUCAAAGCAAGGGGA